rnacentral:rRNA from 1 species
UACGUAGGGUGCAAGCGUUGUCCGGAAUUAUUGGGCGUAAAGAGCUCGUAGGCGGUCUGUCGCGUCUGCUGUGAAAUCUGGGGGCUCAACCCCCAGCCUGCAGUGGGUACGGGCAGACUAGAGUGCGGUAGGGGAGAUUGGAAUUCCUGGUGUAGCGGUGGAAUGCGCAGAUAUCAGGAGGAACACCGAUGGCGAAGGCAGAUCUCUGGGCCGUAACUGACGCUGAGGAGCGAAAGCAUGGGGAGCGAACAGG